rnacentral:rRNA from 1 species
UAUUGCACAAUGGAGGAAACUCUGAUGCAGCGACGCCGCGUGAGUGAUGAAGGCCUUCUCCUCGUAAAGCUCUGUCGUAUGGGACUAACAAAAUGAAGGUACCAUGCAAGAAAGGAUCGGCUAACUUCGUGCCAGCAGCCGCGGUAAGACGAGGGAUCCUAGCGUUGUUCGGAAUUAUUGGGCGUAAAGCGGGUGUAGGCGGACUUAUAAGUCAGGUGUGAAAUCCCAGGGCUCAACCCUGGAAGCGCACUUGAUACUGCAAGUCUUGAAUGUGGUAGAGGCUAUUAGAAUUCCUGGUGUAGUGGUGAAAUACGUAGAUAUCAGGAGGAAUACCGGAGGCGAAGGCGGAUAGCUGGGCCUUCAUUGACGCGAGACCCGAAG